UGGAAUGCAGCUCAGUUGACAGAGCGCUUAGAUGAAAUCUGAGAGGUAGUUGGUUCAAACCCAAUCGUUCCAA
rnacentral:tRNA from 1 species